rnacentral:lncRNA from 1 species
GUCUGCAAGAUAUUUGGGACUUUAUGUCCUGUCAAAUGUUUCCCUUUCUGUCCGCUUGCCGGUUAAUUCAAAAGAUAUGAUAGUAUAAAAUUGAUAUCUGGCAUACAGUUGCAUUUAUAUGCAUGUAGUAUUUUUGCAUCAAUAGCUUAUACAGCGGAUGGUAAAUUUUACCUUAUGGGACUGUGAAGCCAAUUUUUUUUUUAAUUAUUUG